AUUGAACGCUGGCGGCAGGUCUAACACAUGCAAGUCGCACGAGUGGCGGACGGGUGAGUAAUGGCUGGGAAACUGCCUGAUGGAGGGGGAUAACUACUGGAAACGGUAGCUAAUACCGCAUACCAUCAGAUGUGCCCAGAUGGGAUUAGCUUGUUGGUGGGGUAACGGCUCACCAAGUCGACGAGCCCUAGCUGGUCUGAGAGGAUGACCAGCCAGACGGGCACUGAGACACGGGCCAGAGUCCUACGGGAGGCAGCAGUGGGGAAUAUUGAACAAAGGGGGCAAGCCUGAUGCAGCCAUGCCGCGUGAAGGAAGAAGGCCUUCGGGUGGUAAAGUACUUUCAGCGGGGAGGCGUUACCCGCAGAAGAAGCACCGGCUAACUCCGUGCCAGCAGCCGCGGUAAUUC
rnacentral:rRNA from 1 species